AAUGAACGUUGGCGGCGUGGAUUAGGCAUGCAAGUCGUACGAGAAGUCUUAAAUUGAAGCUUCGGUUGAUUUUUAGGAUGGAAAGUGGCGAAAGGGAGAGUAACGCGUGGAUAUCUGCCCCGAGACCCGGGAUAGCUGCGGGAAACUGCAGGUAAUACCGGAUAAUGUCUCCGGACCAAAGGUGUGAUUCCGUCUUGGGAUGAGUCCGCGUCCUAUUAGCUUGUUGGUGGGGUAAUGGCCUACCAAGGCAAUGAUGGGUAGCGGGUGUGAGAGCAUGGCCCGUCUCACUGGGACUGAGACACUGCCCAGACACCUACGGGUGGCUGCAGUCGAGAAUCUUCCGCAAUGGACGAAAGUCUGACGGAGCGACGCCGCGUGCGGGAUGAAGGCCCUCGGGUUGUAAACCGCUGUCAGUUGGGAGGAAAUGCUAUGGGGUACUCUCCAUAGUUUGACCGAUCUUCAGAGGAAGUCCGGGCUAAGUUCGUG
rnacentral:rRNA from 1 species